rnacentral:rRNA from 1 species
AAUGAACGUUGGCGGCGUGGAUUAGGCAUGCAAGUCGAGCGAGAAUUUGCGAUUGGAAGCUUCGGCCGAAGAAAGUGAAGGAAAGCGGCAAACGGCGUAGUAAGGCGUAGGUACGUACCCUCGGGUCGGGAAUAGCCAUGGGAAACUGUGGGUAAUGCCCGAUAAUCUCUGCGGAGCAAAGGUGUGAUUCCGCCGGAGGAGCGGCUUACGUGAUAUUAGCUAGUUGGUGGGGUAAUGGCCUACCAAGGCAACGAUGUCUAGGGGGUGUGAGAGCAUGGCCCCCACGACCGGAACUGAGACACUGUCCGGACACCUACGGGUGGCUGCAGUCGAGAAUCUUCCGCAAUGGGCGAAAGCCUGACGGAGCGACGCCGCGUGGUGGAUGAAGGCCCUUGGGUUGUAAACACCUGUCAGAGGGGAUGAAAUCAUGGUUGGCAAUCCUUCCAUGUUGACAGAGCCUCAGAGGAAGCACGGGCUAAGUACGUGCCAGCAG